rnacentral:rRNA from 1 species
UACGGGGGGGGGCAAGCGUUGUUCGGAAUUACUGGGCGUAAAGGGCUCGUAGGUGGCCAACUAAGUCAGACGUGAAAUCCCUCGGCUUAACCGGGGAACUGCGUCUGAUACUGGAUGGCUUGAGUUUGGGAGAGGGACGCGGAAUUCCAGGUGUAGCGGUGAAAUGCGUAGAUAUCUGGAGGAACACCGGUGGCGAAGGCGGCUCACUGGCCCGAUACUGACGCUGAGGUGCGAAAGCGUGGGGAGCAAACAGG